GGCGAGAGACCGAUAGCGAACAAGUACCGUGAGGGAAAGAUGAAAAGAACUUUGAAAAGAGAGUUAAACAGUACGUGAAAUUGUUGAAAGGGAAACGAUUGAAGUCAGUCAUACCAACGGGAAAUCAACCUUUUGAGUUUGUUCUUGUGGGUUUCGAGGAGUUUAAAAGCCUUCGAAUUUGCUAGGAUUGGGCUCUUUUGGUGUACUUUCUCGUACGGUUAGUCAACAUCGGUUUUGAAUGUCAUAAAA
rnacentral:rRNA from 1 species